CCUACGGGAGGCAGCAGUGAGGAAUAUUGGUCAAUGGACGAGAGUCUGAACCAGCCAAGUAGCGUGAAGGAUGACUGCCCUAUGGGUUGUAAACUUCUUUUAUAUGGGAAUAAAAUGUUCCACGUGUGGGAUUUUGUAUGUACCAUAUGAAUAAGGAUCGGCUAACUCCGUGCCAGCAGCCGCGGUAAUACGGAGGAUCCGAGCGUUAUCCGGAUUUAUUGGGUUUAAAGGGAGCGUAGGUGGAUUGUUAAGUCAGUUGUGAAAGUUUUCGGCUCAACCGUAAAAUUGCAGUUGAAACUGGCAGUCUUGAGUACAGUAGAGGUGGGCGGAAUUCGUGGUGUAGCGGUGAAAUGCUUAGAUAUCACGAAGAACUCCGAUUGCGAAGGCAGUUCACUGGACUGCAACUGACACUGAGGCUCGAAAGUGUGGGUAUCAAACAGGAUUAGAUACCCGUGUAGUC
rnacentral:rRNA from 1 species